UACAGAGGUCUCAAGCGUUGUUCGGAUUCAUUGGGCGUAAAGGGUGCGUAGGCGGCGCCGUAAGUCGGGUGUGAAAUUUCGGAGCUUAACUCCGAAACUGCAUUCGAUACUGCGGUGCUUGAGGACUGGAGAGGAGACUGGAAUUCAUGGUGUAGCAGUGAAACGCGUAGAGAUCAUGAGGAAGACCAGUGGCGAAGGCGGGUCUCUGGACAGUUCCUGACACUGAGGCACGAAGGCCAGGGGAGCAAACGGG
rnacentral:rRNA from 1 species